UAGGGGAUCUUCGGCAAUGGGGGCAACCCUGACCGAGCAACGCCGCGUGAGUGAAGAAGGUUUUCGGAUCGUAAAGCUCUGUUGUAAGAGAAGAACGAGUGUGAGAGUGGAAAGUUCACACUGUGACGGUAACUUACCAGAAAGGGACGGCUAACUACGUGCCAGCAGCCGCGGUAAUACGUAGGUCCCGAGCGUUAUCCGGAUUUAUUGGGCGUAAAGCGAGCGCAGGCGGUUAGAUAAGUCUGAAGUUAAAGGCUGUGGCUUAACCACAGUACGCUUUGGAAACUGUUUAACUUGAGUGCAGAAGGGGAGAGUGGAAUUCCAUGUGUAGCGGUGAAAUGCGUAGAUAUAUGGAGGAACACCGGUGGCGAAAGCGGCUCUCUGGUCUGUAACUGACGCUGAGGCUCGAAAGCGUGGGGAGCAAACAGGAUUAGAUACCCUGGUAGUCCACGCCGUAAACGAUGAGUGCUAGGUGUUGGGUCCUUUCCGGGACUCAGUGCCGCAGCUAACGCAUUAAGCACUCCGCCUGGGGAGUACGACCGCAAGGUUG
rnacentral:rRNA from 1 species